GACGAACGCUGGCGGCGUGCUUAACACAUGCAAGUCGAACGGAAAGGCCCUGCUUUUGUGGGGUUCUCGAUUGGCGAACGGGUGAGUGACACGUGUGUAUCCUGCCCUUGUCUUUCGGGUAACUUCAGGAAACUGGGGCUAAUACCGGAUAGGAUCUCCUGCUGCGUGGUGGGGGUUGGAAAGUUUCGGCUGUUGGGGCUGGACUCGCGGCUUAUCAGCUUGUUUGUGGGGUAGUGGCUUACCAAGGCUUUGACGGGUAGCCGGCCUGGGAGGGUGACCGGCGACAUUGGGACUGAGAUACGGAGCAGACGGGAACGGGAGGCAACAGUGGGGAAUAUUGCACAACGGGCGGAAGCGUGAUGCAGAAGCGCCGCGUGCGGGAAGACGGCUUUCGGGUUGUAAACAGCUUUCGCCUGAGACGAAGCGUGAGUGACGGUAAUGGGUAAAGAAGCACCGGCUAACUACGUG
rnacentral:rRNA from 1 species